GAAAAACCAGGCCAAACUCAGCUGACACCCAUGGAGGGAGGAUUUAAACCAGCCCUAGCCAGCGGGGAAUUGCUGAUCCCAGCAGUCUACACGUGAGUGCCCACAAACCUCACCACCUAGUGCCAGAGUGCUCUGGAUAUUUAAGGAAACUUGAAAGGAAGUCUAAGCCAUAAGGACUGCAAUUUGUAGGUGAGUCCUAGGGGCAAACUAGGCCCAGAGACAGUGGAGUGGCUGGGGGCACGCAACAUACUGAAAUACCAGCUACUGCAGCCAAGAGUUUCCUUCCUUCCACUUGAAGAAAGGAGAAGGAAGAGUGGGGAGAACUUUGUCUUGCAGCUUGGAUACCAUUUCAGCCACAGCAGGAUAGGGCACUAGUAAGAGUAAUUAGGCUGCCAUUCUAGGCCUUAGCUCCCAGACAACAUCUCUAGAAUAACCCUGAACCGGAAGGGAACCUGCUGCCUUGAAGAAAGGACCCAGUUUUGUCAGCAUUUAUCACGUGCUAACUGAAGAGCCCUUGGGCCCUGAAUAAACCAACAGUGAAACCCAGCUACUACAUCAUGGUCCUUGGGUACCAGUACUGCUACAGGUGGGUAGAGCACCAAGCAGGCUCUUGGGGUUCCUGAUUCCAGACUUGACACUUGGACAUCACAUCUGGACCUGCCUUCGGCCAGAGGGGAACCCACUGCCCUG
rnacentral:lncRNA from 1 species